rnacentral:rRNA from 1 species
GAUGAACGCUGGCGGCGUGCCUAAUACAUGCAAGUCGAGCGAACAGACGAGGAGCUUGCUCCUCUGACGUUAGCGGCGGACGGGUGAGUAACACGUGGAUAACCUACCUAUAAGACUGGGAUAACUUCGGGAAACCGGAGCUAAUACCGGAUAAUAUAUUGAACCGCAUGGUUCAAUAGUGAAAGACGGUUUUGCUGUCACUUAUAGCUGGUUCCGAGCCGUAUUAGCUAGUUGGUACGGUCACGGCUUACCAAGGCAACGAUGCGUAGCCGACCUGAGAGGGGGGUCGGCCACACUGGAACUGAGACACGGUCCAGACUCCUACGGGAGGCAGCAGUAGGGAAUGUGCGGCAAUGGGCGAAAGCCUGACGGAGCAACGCCGCGUGAGUGAUGAAGGUCUUCGGAGCGUAAAACUCGGUUAUUAGGGAAGAACAAAUGUGUAAGUAACUAUGCACGGCUUGACGGUAACUAAUCAGAAAGCCACGGCUAACUACGUG